CGUGAGCGCCUCCAAUCCAUCGUUAAAUAAAGAAAGAUAAAGAGCCCUCCCGUUCUUUGGACCCCGAUCUGUCUGCAGCAAGGAAGUCUUAGUGUCUCCUCCUCCCUUCCCCCUCCCCUCUCUCGUUUCUGUUUCCUUGUCGAAUAUUUCUGGACGCAUAACCAAAUGGCGGAGGAAGAAGGUUCGAUUCGGGAUGAUUCUCCGAUCGAGUAAGUUCGGUUGACGGUGCCUUAUGGUGUGUAGUUUCUCGGAUAUAGGUUUGCUGGCAUAUUCAUGAAGUUGCUAGUGGACUCGCCCUAUAUGUGGUGGCCUUCGACUCCAGUAGUCGUCUCCUUCUACAGGCUGCGUGCCCCUUUUUCUUUUGGUCGUCUCUUCUAAACAAUGCAAAGAAGGAAAGAGUUCACUUUUGUUUGUUUAACGUGUGUCUUUGUUGUUUCGCGCUUGCAGAGUAUUACAUGAGCCGGAGGAAAGAGCUAAGGGAAAAUUGUUACGAUAUCAGUUCAUCAUCAUAGUCUUCGUUCAUAAGCAGAUCAAUAUGGCAAUCAGUUUGCCAAGUCACAUCAGAGUCAAAGGCAAGAUAUCCACACGAGAUUGAUGAAGCAAAAUUAUGAGUCUAUUCCCUGGUGGUUCUACUCUACACUAUUCUCGAUGAUGGGUUUUGUGAUCCUCGUAUGUGAAAUAUUUAGUGAGCAACUUCAACUUCGUUACUGGGGAGUUCUAUUGGCUUGUGCCUUGGUGUUUAUAUUUUUGUUUCCAGACGGUGUACUUGCAGCCACUGCUAAUUCGGGGUUUUCAGUAAAGCUUUUCUUGGAGAUCAUAAUUGGAUACUUGUAUCCCGGUAGACCUAUUGCAAAUAUAGCAUUCACAACAUAUGGUUUUUUGCACUUUACUAGUAUGCUGAAGACAUCGCAUUAUAUGAAGAUUCCUCCAAAAAUAAUUUUCUUGGUGCAGGUAUUUAUGGAACAUUAUGCUAUAUUCUCAUCUAGUGUUAGAAUAGAUUUGAGAAUUGCAAUAUAUACUUACAUGCAUAUCUCAAAAUUUGAAUUUAAUUAUAUUACUAAAUUACCUUCACCAUGUUUCUUUGCAUGUAGAUUUUAGGUACCCUAUUGUCAUUAGUGAUUGGCUUUACUGUUGCAUGGUGGUUCUUUAUAUUCAGUAAAAAAUAUAUAUCAUCCGGAAUUAUUGUCAAAAGGAAGUCCUUGGACAUGCCCCACCGAAAGAAUUUUUUUUCC